rnacentral:misc_RNA from 1 species
GAAUUGCGAAAAGUGAUGUGAUCCGCAUAAACGUGAAUCAUCGAGUCUUUGAACGCACAUUGCGCCCCCUGGUAUUCCGGGGGGCAUGCCUGUCCGAGCGUCAUUGCUGCCCUCAAGCACGGCUUGUGUGUUGGGCCCCGUCCUCCGAUCCCGGGGGACGGGCCCGAAAGGCAGCGGCGGCACCGCGUCCGGUCCUCGAGCGUAUGGGGCUUUGUCACCCGCUCUGUAGGCCCGGCCGGCGCUUGCCGAUCAACCCAAAUUUUUAUCCAGGUUGACCUCGGAUCAGGUAGGGAUACCCGCUGAACUUAA